UUGAAGAAUCUGGGUAUUUGAUGCAAAUCUACCUUCUCUGUUUUCUGGGAGAAGGUAUAUGAGAGAUAGAGAGAGAAUAGGAUCUGACCUGCAUUGUUGAAACUAAUCUAUUUUUUUGUGAGGUAUAUGUAAAAUAUGGAUAUUUGUUGAAUGAUUAUUAUUGGAAGUUUUAUAAGUAUCUACACUUAUUGCUUUUUUUUUUUUCUAAAAAAUAAAAUUUUAGCUAAAUAAUCACUUCAUUAUCUUUAGCUCAUUAAAAGAACGCUUAAACAAAUUCUUGUAUGAAACGGGCUUAGUGUGAGACGCUUAAACAAAUUUUGAAUGUGUUUGUUGGAUAUUUUAAAGAGAAUUUUAAGUUGUAUAAUACUUUUUUGGGUGAUUCAUUGUGAAAUUAUAUGUAUUAUUAGCAUUAGUCCAUAAAUAUCGCUUUAUUGCAAUCUAACUACAUUAAAAAAAAAAAAAAAUAGGACUUGUUUUUGGACCCGGAUCCGGUACUGGAUUCGCAGUACCCACGGAUCCGGAUCUGGGUCUUGUAAAAUUGGACCCGCGGAUCCGGGUCCGGAUAUGGAUCCUGCUCUUGAAAACGGAUCCGGAUCCGGGUCCACCUGGACCCCGCCCGGAUCCAACCCGUUGCCAUCCCUAAGUAAAAGUUUCUAAAUCUUCUCUAUUGUACUAGCAUUUUACUUUUAUAGUGUUCAAUUUAAGGCUUCAAGCUUGAUUCUUUCACCAAAGAAUGUGAGAAGUUCCAAGAUUUGGAUGAUAUCUCUUUGUUUGUGGCCUGUACCCCUACUUUGAAAAAUAAAAAAGAAAAUAAAAAAAAAAAAAAAAUUUGAAAACCAAAAACACGGGUAAUUGGAGAAAGAGAGAGAAGGCUUCCUUGAGAAUUCAGAAAGCCAAGCCUCACGCGAAAGGAAAUCGCCUCCUCCCUGCUUCAAGCCUCCUGCCUGCUUGCCUCGCCUCCGGCCUCCCCACGUCGACGUCCUACCUCCGGCUUCAAGCCUCCUCCCUGCACCCUGCUUCAAGCCACCGCCGUACGUUUAAUCGUUUAAUCGGGAAAGAGAAGGAACAGAAAAGAAAGAAAGAGAAGCUCGAUCUCCUUACACCUCGAGUUAAAAUCAACCCUAAUUUUUCAGUUUUAGAACUUGGGUGAGGGUGAAGCUGCCAUUAAUAAGAACGCUGUGGAGGUGGAGGUGCUUGAGGUUGAAGAAGAAAGCUAAGGCGGGAGGCGGCUGUUCUCCAUCAAGUUCUUGACUUUUUGGGAUUUAUCUGUUGAUUAUCAAUCAUAACCCCAUUUACCCAUUUUGUUUGUUUCAGUUUUUGAUCUUGUUUUGCUAUGAUUCAAACCACAUUGUUAAGAUUUAGAAGGUUUAAAGUUGAUUUUAUUUGAAGAAAACCCAUUUCUAAUUGUUGCGCAUUUUAGCCAGAAUUUGAAAUAUUUGAGGUGAAGUUGCUGAAUUUUGUAUAUUUUCUACUUGUUUUUUGAUCUUAAGUGCUAGAUCUGUUUUUGGUUUGGUUUUCUAUGUUGUUGAUUGCUGAUUUUUGAGCGCAUUUUGGGAAUAAUUUGAAACAAAUCAAUCAGAAUAUACUUGUUUAUUUUGCUUUAGGUUGAUUUGGCUCAAUUAAAUGUAAAUUUUGUGGGAGAUUGGGGCCGAAGUGACCCACAUUAGUGUAGAUAUUGAUAGUUAAUUGCCUUUCUUUUGGGGUUUUGGAAGUUUUUUUUUUUAAGGAAAAGAUGAUUAUACUUUCUGGUUUUUUAGAGAUUUUUGCAAUUGUCUUACUUAUGCUUUGAAUAGAAAGUGUAAAUGAACUUUGUAAGCAAUUAGUCAAACUGUUGUGGGAGUAGAUUUAAAAUGUUGCCAUUGAUAUCAAUUCUUCAUUUAUGAUUAUGAACCCUAAUUCCCUAAAUCCCUAAUUAUAAUUUGUUGAUUUACUGAUUUGUUUCAUUGUUUGUUGGUUAAAUUUAGAUACUUAAUUUGAUUAUUACUUGAUUACUUGAAUAUAUAGUUGAUUAGUUGAAUACUUGAUUUGUAAUUUUGAAGUAAGACUUUUAAGUAUUGUAAGACUUUUAUUGUUAUUUUGGAUUGUUUGACUUUAACUAUUGAUUCUAUUAUGUGUUGUAAGUUUUUAUUUUUUAAAAAAAUUUUAUUCGAUAUCCGAACGACAUGACGUUCGUAUUUUGUACCCCAGUUUGAAAUUCCUGGGUCCGCCACUGCUCCACAUGAUGUAGGAAGUAGAAACAAUUGUAUACAUUUCCAUGAUGAUGAUAUUGGGUCGUAUAAUUGGAUUAGAGAUCAAAUCGGAGGGCACUACAUUGUGUCUUUGACAUGAAUGGAAAGAGCAGUUAACCAUUGUGUGUUUACUGUACUAAAACAAAAUCCAGGUACUCUUGGUCCAUGUACAUUGUAAUUUUCUCCGUCAUUUGAAUUAUGAGGAAAGUUUGAGGAACUGUACGAGUCUACAUAACGUAUCAGUCAUCGAGUUAUAGUCUCACUGGAUUUAUAACCACUUUUUUCUUUAUGAUUCUUGGUUUUUGAUCGCUAACUUGAUCAUGAAGUAGUUUUUAGUGUUUUCCAACUCGUUCUAUUUUUUGCCUUUUGUCUCUGUUGAUUCAAAUCUCUUCCUAAGAAGCAAAGUUAUACAUGGCUCAAGUUAGAGAUGCUUUCAUUUCGUGAGUAUUAUUCACAAAAGCAGACUUGUAGGGAAUUGGUUUGGGAUGGCCACAGUAUGGUUUUGCAUAUAUUGUGGGCAUAUUUAAUAUUCCUCAAUGCCUUUGAGAUUGCUAUUAGUAGUGACAUUUCCCCUCACUGUCAUUAUCGGUAACAAUCUCUAGGGGUUAGAGGGAGUAUUAGUGUACUAUCAAGGAAACAGUAUGACCUUUUUUAAAUUUAGGAAAUGAUUAUCGUAUUUGUACAUCUUGAGUUUGUCAACUGAUAUUCUCUAUGCUUUGGAAAUAAAUUAGCGUCAUACUCCUUCAUCCAACUCAAUUUGCCACAUUUCGGUUUUCCAUGUGAGAUUUUAACCUAAAUGUUGCAAAAUGAGCGGGGACAGAAAAGUAUUCGAAGAUUGAACCUAUGUGAGAAUUUUCUACCUGAUGCUUUUAUAAGUUAUUAAUGCCAUCAUUAUGACUCUUGUACAGCAUUUGUUUUCGGAGCAAAAUUAUACCUCAUAUAAAAAAUACCAUGGGAGGUACCGGCGGACAAAGGCUUUCAGGGUUACAGAAGGAAGUCCUGAAUCUUUACAGAGGGUUUCUGCGAGCAGCCCGUUCUAAAUCACCAGAACAUCGUCAUCAGAUCGAAUCAAUUGUGUCUGAAGAGUUCCACCGCAAUUCCAAGCAAAUUGAUCGUAAGAAUUUUGUUUACAUAGAAUACUUGCUUCGACUUGGUAAAAAACAGCUUGAUCAACUCAAGAGUAGUGAUAUUGUCAGAUUAUCAUCCAUGAAGGUUGGAGGGGAUCAGAAUAAAGAUUCAUAGUUUUGAAUCGGUACAUUAGAUGAAUGCUAUCUGAACGGCUGAACCCAAUCGGCUUUGAUAAGUGAAAACCAUAAAGCCCUUGAAUAUUUGGCAUAUAUUUGGCGAUGUUUUAGACUUCGAGACGCCAGAACAUGCAACUUUGAUUUGUAACACAGCCUUCGCAGUUGACAGUACAUAAAAGUAUAGAUCAUUAGUCUCAUAACUGUUUUAUUUUCCCUCCCCGUUUCCACUGUCGAGUAAAAAUGAGUAACAUUGCCGCAGAUUUAUCUUACGAAAAGGAGAAAUUGUUGCAUUUGUCUGUUUAUUACAAUCUCAUUUUUAUUAUUUAUCACAUUAAUUCAUUAACUGUUUA